rnacentral:rRNA from 1 species
AGGGUUCGAUUCUGGCUCAGGAUGAACGCUGGCGGCGUGCUUAACACAUGCAAGUCGAACGGGAUCCAUCAGGCUUUGCUUGGUGGUGAGAGUGGCGAACGGGUGAGUAAUGCGUGACCGACCUGCCCCAUACACCGGAAUAGCUCCUGGAAACGGGUGGUAAUGCCGGAUGCUCCGACUCCUCGCAUGGGGGUGUCGGGAAAGAUUUCAUCGGUAUGGGAUGGGGGUCGCGUCCUAUCAGGUAGUCGGCGGGGUAACGGCCCACCGAGCCUACGACGGGUAGCCGGCCUGAGAGGGCGACCGGCCACAUUGGGACUGAGAUACGGCCCAGACUCCUACGGGAGGCAGCAGUGGGGAAUAUUGCACAAUGGGCGCAAGCCUGAUGCAGCGACGCCGCGUGCGGGAUGACGGCCUUCGGGUUGUAAACCGCUUUUGAUCGGGAGCAAGCCUUCGGGUGAGUGUACCUUUCGAAUAAGCACCGGCUAACUACGUGCCAGCAGCCGCGGUAAUACGUAGGGUGCAAGCGUUAUCCGGAAUUAUUGGGCGUAAAGGGCUCGUAGGCGGUUCGUCGCGUCCGGUGUGAAAGUCCAUCGCUUAACGGUGGAUCUGCGCCGGGUACGGGCGGGCUGGAGUGCGGUAGGGGAGACUGGAAUUCCCGGUGUAACGGUGGAAUGUGUAGAUAUCGGGAAGAACACCAAUGGCGAAGGCAGGUCUCUGGGCCGUUACUGACGCUGAGGAGCGAAAGCGUGGGGAGCGAACAGGAUUAGAUACCCUGGUAGUCCACGCCGUAAACGGUGGAUGCUGGAUGUGGGGCCCGUUCCACGGGUUCCGUGUCGGAGCUAACGCGUUAAGCAUCCCGCCUGGGGAGUACGGCCGCAAGGCUAAAACUCAAAGAAAUUGACGGGGGCCCGCACAAGCGGCGGAGCAUGCGGAUUAAUUCGAUGCAACGCGAAGAACCUUACCUGGGCUUGACAUGUUCCCGACAGCCGUAGAGAUAUGGCCUCCCUUCGGGGCGGGUUCACAGGUGGUGCAUGGUCGUCGUCAGCUCGUGUCGUGAGAUGUUGGGUUAAGUCCCGCAACGAGCGCAACCCUCGCCCUGUGUUGCCAGCACGUCAUGGUGGGAACUCACGGGGGACCGCCGGGGUCAACUCGGAGGAAGGUGGGGAUGACGUCAGAUCAUCAUGCCCCUUACGUCCAGGGCUUCACGCAUGCUACAAUGGCCGGUACAACGGGAUGCGACACGGCGACGUGGAGCGGAUCCCUGAAAACCGGUCUCAGUUCGGAUUGGAGUCUGCAACCCGACUCCAUGAAGGCGGAGUCGCUAGUAAUCGCGGAUCAGCAACGCCGCGGUGAAUGCGUUCCCGGGCCUUGUACACACCGCCCGUCAAGUCAUGAAAGUGGGUAGCACCCGAAGCCGGUGGCCUAACCCUUUGUGGAUGGAGCCGUCUAAGGUGAGACUCGUGAUUGGGACUAAGUCGUAACAAGGUAGCCGUACCGGAAGGUGCGGCUGGAUCACCU